UCGCAUAUAGCUUAAUUAAUUUCUCUCUUUUUUCCUCUCUGUAUUUUGUUUGUUCAUCAUCAACCAUGCUCUCAAAACCAGCUUCCGAGUCCGACCUCUCAGUGCUCGCAACAUCGGCGUCUCGCUUUGUCCUGGAUGCAGCAAUCUUCUUCAUCUUCAACGAAUUCUUGUUGACCGAGUCCAUGAUUAGCUUGUCGGACUUGGUAGAACUUCAAGCCAAAGUUGAACCUGGCUUCGUUCGUCACCAGUUUGUUAUGGAGCCCGAGUCCGACGAGCUAAUCAUGGAGUCCUUCAACAAGAAUUUCGUUGACAGUACCCUGUUACCACAGAACUUCAUGUAAGUAUAAAAUCUCUCUCUCUCUCUCUCUCUCGCACGUGUUCACACACACACUGGGUAGCCAACAUCGGUUCAAAUUAACAAAGCAGAUUUCUUUCUCUCCAAAUAAAUUUAUUCCGUGUUAUUAGAUCUACCAAAAGACUUGAACCAAAAAAAAAAAAAAACCACAAAGAAGAAAAUAACAUACAAAGAACCACAAAGAAUUGGAAUCACUGAAUUCAUAAUAAUGAAUAUGAAUGAAGGCCCCUGGGUCUCAGCGAUUCUUUAGACAGUGGUUAAUUUAGGAGGUCACGGCUUUUUGGCGCUUGAUUCAUUUUUGGGCAACGACAUUCUCUUGUUUCUCUCCUUCAACUACGAGCUUUGGGGGGAGCUUGUCAAGAUCGUGGAGUACAUUCGUGAUGUCUUGUACAAGGCGCUCAGCCAAGGUUGGCGAGAACUCCGCCCUAAUCAUGAUGAUGAUGAUUUUGAAUGUGAUUUGUUGGUAUAGAAUGGGUGCGUGAACAUGAUAGCACUUCGAUCUGUUUAACGCUCCACUUGGAGACUCUGAGGAUAUGAUGCAAUUGGAGUGGGAACAGUGGGUUCAUUCAUCUGAGGCUAUUAUGCUUGCUGGCCAUGGCCUUGCAUUCAAGAGGAAGUGGCAGAACCCCAACAUUGUCACUGGUGCCAAUGUUCAGGUGGAGCCCAAGAUAGCAGCAACACAAAUAGUGUUCUCAUCCACCAUUUCCACUGCUUUUGCAGGGUCCAUUGCAUAAGUACCCUUCAUUUAACCGGAGCUUGAAUGGGAUUUCCGCCUUCCCCUGGUGAGGAGCAUCAAUGUCACGGCCUUGUUUAUGCCGGAAUUGGGUGGGUUAUUUGGAGGACCAAACAAGACCUGCCUGAAGAGCUUGUCUUCCGCAUCAAAUACCUUGGAGCUGAGCAAUAAGAUCAAUAAUCCUCAUUUCAUUGCCUUUUUUUUCUAUCUAGUGUACUUGUAUGUGCGCACACGCGCAUGGCAGAUCUAAUGAUGUAUUAAUUAGCUUGUUCCAAAAAAAAAAAAAAAAAAAACGGACAAGUUAACCUGUAACUAAUUAAAUUAACUAAUCAUGUUUUUUGCUUAAU